UGGUUUGCAGGUCUUUGUAAGCUGGGGAAACAAGCACAGAGUGACUCCCGUGCCUUCUGCACGGGAAGGGAUCCCUUAGAAGGAUCCCAAGGAGGAAUUAGGAGGAAGGAAAAACCAAAUUAAAAAACCAGGAGUUCUCUGCCAGAAGGAAAAGCUCCCCGAGCAGCACAAAGAGAAGGAGAUGGGGAAGAGAGAGAAUGCCUGGGCACAGAGGAGAAAGCUGAAAUAUCAAAUUCUGCUAUGCAGGGGGGAAGGUGGCUACACCCCCACGGAGAAUUAAGCGUGCAGACAAAACCCAUCCCCAGCCUGGCAGCUGCAGUGGGAAUGCCAACAUUCCACCUUCCCCUGAUGGGAGCAGGAGCUUUAACAACACCCAGGGAACGGGGAGAGCUGCUCCAGCAAGUGUCACCAAAGCUCUCACAACAGGAAUCAUCCUCAGCUGCAGCUCAGGAGAUGACAACACCGAGAGGGAAAUGGGGUGGAGUACAGGACUUUUUGCUCUUUCAUAGGAUCUAUCUAAUACCAAAUCCUAAACCAGCAGAAUUUAGUCACCUCCCCUCUACAUAACUAUGCUCUCUGCCGAUUUUCACAUCAAAUCAACACACCUAGAAGGUGAAAAGAGAACUCACACACUUACCAGAGCUUGUUGUAGGCCUCUAGACAUUCGGGUUUGACAUUGUGAACUGCAACAACAACAAGAGGGCCGUGAGGCAGGCAGGGGCACAGGGAAGGAACGGCGCUG